CCUACGGGUGGCUGCAGUGAGGAAUAUUGGUCAAUGGGCGAGAGCCUGAACCAGCCAAGUCGCGUGAAGGAUGACGGCCCUACGGGUUGUAAACUUCUUUUGUCAGGGAGCAAUUUGGUCCACGCGUGCGCUUAUCUAUAGUACCUGAAGAAAAAGCAUCGGCUAACCCCGUGCCAGCAGCCGCGGUAAUACGGAGGUUGCGAGCGUUAUCCGGAUUUAUUGGGUUUAAGGGGUUCUUAGGGGGAAUAUAAAGUCAGCGGUAAAAAUUCGGGGCUCAACCCCGUCGUGCCGUUGAGACUGGUGUUCUUGAGUGGGCGAGAGGUAGGCGGAAUGCGUGGUGUAGCGGUGAAAUGCAUAGAUAUCACGCAGAACUCCGAUUGCGAAGGCAGCAUACCGGAGCGCAACUGACGCUGAUGCACGAAAGCGUGGGUAUCGAACAGGAUUAGAUACCCGAGUAGUC
rnacentral:rRNA from 1 species